rnacentral:rRNA from 1 species
CCAGACUCCUACGGGAGGCAGCAGUGGGGGAUAUUGCACAAUGGGGGGAACCCUGAUGCAGCGACGCCGCGUGGGUGAAGGAGUGCUUCGGCAUGUAAAGCCCUAUCGGCAGGGAAGAAGCAAGACGGUACCUGACUAAGAAGCCCCGGCUAACUACGUGCCAGCAGCCGCGGUAAUACGUAGGGGGCGAGCGUUAUCCGGAUUUACUGGGUGUAAAGGGAGCGUAGACGGCAGAGCAAGUCUGAAGUGAAAGCCCGCGGCCCAACUGCGGGACUGCUUUGGAAACUGCCCGGCUAGAGUGCUGGAGAGGUAAUCGGAAUUCCUAGUGUAGCGGUGAAAUGCGUAGAUAUUAGGAGGAACACCAGUGGCGAAGGCGGCUUGCUGGACCGCGACUGACGUUGAGGCUCGAAAGCGUGGGGAGCGAACAGGAUUAGAUACCCUUGUA